rnacentral:rRNA from 1 species
GGUUUGAUCAUGGCUCAGAUUGAACAUGGCGGGAUGCUUUACACAUGCAAGUCAGGCAGCGGCACGGACUUCGGUGAUCUGGUGGCGAGUGGCGAACAGGUGAGUAAUGUAUCGGAACGUGCCUGGUAGCGGGGAUAACUACGCGAAAGCAGCUAAUACCGCAUACGCCCUUCGGGGAAAGCGGGGGACCUUCGGGCCUCGCACUAUUAGAGCGGCCGAUAUCGGAUUAGCUAGUUGGUGAGGUAGCAAGCUCACCAAGGCGACGAUCCGUAUGGUUUGAGAGGACGACCAACCCGCUGGGACUGAGACACGGCCCAGACUCCUGCAGGAGGCAGCAGUGGGAAUUUUGGUUAAUGGGGAAACCUGAUCCAGCCAUCCCGCGUGUGCGAUGAAGGCCUUCAGGUUGUAAAGCACUUUUGGCAGGAAGAAACGGCACGGGAUAAUACCCCGUGCAACUGGCAACCACCUGCAGAAUGGCACCGGCUAACCGUGUAGCCGCGGUAAUACGUAAGUGCAAGCGUUAAUCAGUCUGGGCGCUAAGCGUGCGCGAACGGUUCGGAAAAGAAAGAUGUGAAAUCCGAGCUUAACUUUGGAACUGCAUUUUUAACUACCGAGUAGAGUGUGUCAGAGGGAGGUGGAAUUCCGCGUGUAGCAGUGAAAUGCGUAGAUAGCAGGAGGAACACCGAUGGCAAAGGCAACCUCCUGGGAUAACACUGGCAACUCAUACAGCGUGGGGAGCAACCAGGAUUAGAUACCCUGGUAGUCCACGCCUAAACGAUGUCAACUGGCUGUAUUUGGGGCCUUGGGCCUUGGUAGCGCAGCUAACGCGUGAAGUUGACCGCCUGGGGGUACAGUCGCAAGAUUAAAACUCAAAGGAAUUGACGGGGACCCGCACAAGCGGUGGAUGAUGUGGUUCAAAAAUUUCGAUGCAACGCGAAAACCUUACCGGCAUGUCUGAAUCCGAAGAAUUUGGUCUUUCGCGCAGAAGACAGACUAGGCUGCUGCCUGGCUUGUGAACGUCAGCUCGUCUCCUGAGAUGUGCGUUCUAAGUCCGCGAUGGGCAUACCGUCACAGAUUUACACGAAAGGCUCUAAUGAGACAACUGCGUGAUGUUAAUAUUGAGGAAGGUAGGACUGACGUCAAUCUCAUAGCCACAUAAGGCUGGGCUUCAUACGUCUGCAAUGCGGCCGGGUGAAAGUUGCCGAACCGCGGAGUAAUCCGGAAACCCGUGUAGAUCGGAUCGCAGUCUGCAACUCUCGACUUGCAUUGAGUCGAAUCUUGCUAGUAAUCUGCGGAUCAAGAAGCAAUGUCGCGGUAGGAACACGUUCGGUAUUGUACACACCGCCCGUCACACCAUGGGGGUGGGUUUUACCAGAAGUAGUUAGCCUAACCGUAAGGAGGGCGAUUACCACGGUAAAGUUCAUGACUGGGGUGAAGUCGUAACAAGGUAG